GUUCGCAUCUUUUCCCUACCUCCAUCUAUUAACAAUAGCAUCAAGAUGGAAGUGGGAAUCGAGGAUUGUCUGCACAUUGAGUUUGAGUACAACAAGAGCAAGUACCAUCUGAAAGAUGUUAUUAUCGGCAAGAUAUAUUUCCUUCUUGUAAGAAUCAAAAUAAAGAAUAUGGAUCUGGAGAUCAGGCGUCGUGAGUCAACAGGGUCGGGGCCCAAUACUCAUGUUGAGACAGAGGCACUUGCUAAGUUUGAGUUGAUGGAUGGUGCUCCAGUAAGAGAAAGGAAAGGCAGCAAGGCUGCCAGAAAGAAGGAAUAAAAAAAUUAAAAGGAAAAAUGGGAAAGACGGAUCCAAAGAAAAGAAAGAAAGCAGGCGUGAAAAGAGGGAGAGGAGUGCACGUGAAAGGGGAUGGAAAGGGCUGCCUUUGCAGCUGGCCAGAAAAAAGAAAGAAAAAAAUAUAAAAAAUAAAGGAAGUAGUGCGGAGGACAGGAGGGGGCUGUCUUUACAGCAGGGUGAGAACGAGGGGAGAUAAGGGAGAGCGGGAGAAGUCAGUAGGGGGGUCUUGGAGCGGGAGAAAGGAGCUGCCCUUUGGGCAGCUCGCAGAGACACGCGGAGAGACUGGGGGGGCUGCUUUGGCAGCAGUGCGCAGGAGGCGCAGGAAGGGUGAGGACCGAGAGGCAGAGAGCUGCCUUUGGGGCAGCGUGGAAGAGAGAUUAAGCAGUGCGAAUAGGGAGUCCACACUCGGACUGUGAGGCGCUGAGGAAGGAGUCCAGGGGGAGAGCAGGAAAUACGGGCAGAUUGGCAGAGAGUCAAGAAACUGAAGCAUCAGAGCACAGUGAGCAGAAGGCUUCAAUCUAUUCUCUCGGUUAAAUCUUUCCAAACUUCUAUUUUAUUUCUAUUUUUAAUAAUGUGUAAUUAAAUUUUAUUUUGGCUAGAGGUUAAUUCAAAACCAUGAAUAUAUUUGUAAUAUGAAUUGAUUACCUUCGGUUGUGAUUUCAUAAGUUGUGAUUUCAAUUUACUUAUCCGUUCGUAUAAAAACUGAUUUGUGUAUGUUGGUUGAGAGUGCACGCUUAAUUUACAUGCAUGAAUUUGAUGCUAGAAUAUAAGUGAAUUUCACCUAAUCGUUAUGAACUUAUUUUCACAAGUAGUAAAGGUUGCUAGUCACAAUCACGUUAAGUAAAUUCUUGGCAAGAGUAUCAUGCUUUUCAUAGUUACGAAUGCCUCGUCAAUGCUUAUAGUUUUCACAAAGUUUAAUGAUCUUUGAUUGUAUCUCUAUUGUGCUUUUCACGUAGGGGACUUUUGAAGAAUGUUUUUGAAUUGUUGUAUGCGUUUUCCCGUCCAAUUCAAUAACUUAAGGAAAACUUGAAGAUUAAAAAAGUGCUGUUCACGGUUAAUCUGGAGUAUUGAGAUUCACAAUUUAUUGAAAGAACAACUGAAAAUCAAUUUAGGUUGCAUAUGUGUCAUGUGUGGAGAAGAACCCUCUAGCUAGUCCGUCAUUUAUCAUUUUACCUUAAUUUUAUGUUUUUAUCAAUUCUGUAAUUUAAUUAAGUUUAAUUUACUUUUCAUCAAAACCAAACACCCAUCCAUUAUUAAAUUAUAUUAUUUAGUUAGUUUUCUUUAUUGUUAGUCUUUUAAUUUAAUUUCCGUCCAUUUCAGUUCCUAGUGUUUAAAUUUAAUUGUUUUCAUUAUUUUGAGUCAUUUUAAGUGUGUGUUUCGAGUUAUUAGAGUUUUUAGCCUAGUUUUGUGUCCUUGAGUCUUAUUUAAUAUUUUUUUAAAUUAAUUUAGAAUAGAUUAGCAAUCCCUCCUAAUCCCCGGCCUAGAACGAUACCCUACUUACAUCUAUACUACAAUUGUCAAAAAGAGGGUUUAAUUUGUGUGUCAAGUAAUUUCGCAUCAAAUUUUGGCGCCGUUGCCGGGGAUUAGCAACUUUGCUAAUCCUUUUAUUUUUGUUUUUGUUUAUGUUUAUAUUGGUGUUUGUGUAUUUUACUUUUGAUAUUUGAUUUAUUUUUCUUUCUUUGAUUUUAGGUUCAAAUGGAGCCGAGGGAAAUUUAAAGGAAAGAUGCGUCCGGCUAAAGACGUUAAAUCAAGCGCUUCUUGGGAGGCAACCCAAGCAUUCAACGAAGGGAGACUUUGGAAUCACUAACCCAAUCAGCUUUGCAUUCUUCCACCCUUAUCUUUACUGCUUUCAUUUUGUUUUGUUUAGUUAGUUGUGUUAUUUGGUUGAUUUCUGUGAGUUUGUGUUAUUUAGUUUAAGUGUGGGGGAAGGUUAACCAAAGUCUCUUUACAUUAAUUUACAUUUACACAUUAAAAAAAAAAAAAAAAAAAAAAAAAGAUAAAAUUUAAAAUUAAUGCAAAAAAAAAAAAAAAAAAAAAUACAUAAAAAAAAAAAAAAAAGUACAAAUAUUUUACAAUAAUGUAAACUAAUAGUAUUCAUUGGUCGGGUGGUGCUUCAGUAGUAGGCGGGGCUUCAGCAGUCGGCGGGGCCACAGAAGGAGGAGGCGGCAGAGGUUGAUCAGUUGGAGCUUCACUACGCGGUGCCGCUCCAGAAGACGAAGGCAGAUGUUGUUUGGAACAAACCCACAAACCUCCGAUGAUCAAGUAAAAUUUGACCAUCGGUGUCCUGCAUCUGGUCAAUCUUCCUCUUCAUGGUUGUGGCAUAAUUGUGUGCAAGCUUGUGCAAUUGUUUAUUUUCAUGCUUGAGUCCUCUAAUCUCCUCUUUGAGACUCUGUAUUUCAGCCACCAACGAUUCAACGUGACGGGUUCGAGCAAAUAGGCGUUGGGCCAUGUUGGAUACAGGAACCCGCACACUGCACGCUAAGAGCCAGAGACUCCUUAACCGCCAAUUCAUCAGACCGUCUAGCGAGCAGUCUGUUAUCUCUGGGAGUGACAAGGUUUCGGGCCACCACCGCAGCGGUCAUGUCAUUUUUUAUCACCGAAUCCCCCACGGUAAGAGGACCGGUAGGGGAUAUGAAGGAUUGGGCCGCCAUAUGUUGUCUGGUGAAGGCGGAGCUGCCUCUUCACCAAUGUUCAAGUCAAAACGACGAUCAGAAAGGGCCAGACAUUUUUCAGAGGUGGUGAAGAAAGAAGAGAGUCGGAAUGAUCAAGAUUAAACAAGUGCAAGAAGGGAGUGUUUACAGGAGGGUGCUCAAGUGUGUUGUGGAACAAGCUUAACGCCUCUAUAAAAAGAAGAAAUCGGAGAGGCGCUCCUCAGAGAAGCGUCCUCUCGCAAAUCGAAGAGUCGGGGCUCCUUUCUCAAAAGCCGGAUUCUUUUCUCAAAAGAGGCGUUUCAUUUCUUAAAGGCUGGGCUUGCUCAGAAACCACGAGCCGAACCCCGGAUUUCAAAAGAUCAAUUUGUCCAGACGUGUCGUCACUUGUCACACGCAAAUUGCUUUGCGGAAAUCUCGGGCAGUUUGUCGAAGCACCAAUUCAGAAAUCGAAGAGGGAAAUUCAACAGUCAAAGACACGCUAGCUUUCUCAAAAGCUGGGCUUCAACCCACGGGCAAAUCUUCUUUUCCAGAUUUAUCCGCACGUGUCACAUGCUACCUCUACAAUCGACGAUGCUCAGAGCUCGAAGCGCCGAUUCCAACCAUCUGAUCUCUCAGCCUAUCAGCACUUGUCACAUGCAACUGGCAGCUUUGCGGAAAUUACGGGCAGCUUUGUCAGAAAGCGCGUAAUUUGUAUUCUUCAUCCAUCCACCGGCUGCCGACACUAAGUGAGAGAACAGUUCCGGUUGUGAAGACAAGUCCUAUAAGUUUCUACCUUCGCCUUCCACAGCAAAAGCACACUCUCUCAGCACACCCUCUCAACACUUCUUCAUCUCCGAAAAUGCAUUCCCAAAGAAUCCCUCUCGAAGUCACUCUGUGUUCCUCAUUCCUUGGGAUACUCCUGCGAACAACCCAUUCAAAGCAAAAGUAUUUCAUAUCAUGAAAGGUUGAAAGCAAGAGUAUCUCAUAUCAUGCUUUCUCCCUGUCCUUUCUCCAGCCAGCACCUGCUCUCGAGUACUCAUCAUCUUGUGCUUUCGCUUUGUUUCUCACUUAUAAGGGAAGUGAAGAUGAUACCUCGAAGCAUGUGGAGACAACGUGCUGAUUCAUCCUCAACUAAGGACAAGGAGAAAGAGAGCAAGAGGUGGGCACUUGGAAAGAUUGAAGAAAGAAACAGACCAACACCUCUACCCUCGUGCCUGCCCGCCAUGCAGAGGAAACAAGCAGAGAAGAAUGCAGCUUGCACAAUCAUCCCAGCGGAAGGAGUCUGAGAUGAAGAACUAGAGAAGCUGCCACAUCUGCUUGGAGAACAAAUAAGGAACUGCAACAUUCCCAAAGAGCAAAGCCUUGCCGUACAAUAGCAUAAAAUCAUCACUUGCAAGUGAAAAGCUAAGUGUCACCCUGUUCAAGAGGAAAGCUGUGGAAAGUCAACAAGCACGACCAAUGAUUACUUAUUAGUUUUAUUCAUUAUCUUUUAUCGUAAUUUUCAAUUUUUCGUUUGCAAUUUUUUUUUUUUUUAAUUAAUUUUCUUGCGUACUUAACUGAAUUAUUUCUUUUCUUUGCAGGAACUUUUGGUUAUUUCCACCCUUGAAGUUGAUUGCAGAAUUUUAGCUUGGGGGUCAUCGCUUGAUUUUACUGCAAAUUAGGGAAGUUUUCAGUCCAAUUGUUUUAUUUUGUUUCUUAUUAUUUAUUUAUUUUAUUUUAUUUUUUUAUUUGCAUUAUAGUGUUUUCUGACAUUGGGGACAAUGUCAAGUUUAAGUGUGGGGGUAGAAAUCUCUAGAAUUUCUAUUGUUUCUAUGUUUUUUGCUUUUUGUUUUCUUAAAAAAAAAAUUUAAAUUAAAAAAAAAAAAAUUUCGGAAAAUUUAAAAAUCCAAAAAUAUUGUCUUGUUUCCCUUAUUGUUUUGAAUUAGAUUUUUUGUUAGUUUCCCGACCCAAUGAUAUAAUUGAAUCAAAUUUGAACCACGAUUAUCAAGAACUUAGUUAACAUGUGUUUUGUGAAAUUCCUAAUUCUCUUGUUAGUUUUGUACAUGUUUGACCAUCUUUGAAAAACCAAAUGCACAUAGCCUUGUUAAUGUGAAACUAAAGCAUGACUUAAAGCUUUAUAUGUGAAUUUAGUGACCAUAUACAUCCUAUGUGAGUUUUUGAGCCUAUUGAAAGUGUGUGCAUUUUUCAUACACUCCUAUUCUUUCAUGUGUGAUGAACUUAUGUGAGAUACAUCUCUAGAACUUGCGUAACGAUCUUUCGAAAUGUUUGUCAUUGAUUGCAUGAACUUGGAAAUGAUAGAGGCAUUAGGUUUACCACUAUGGCCCAAAUAACCAUGUUUCCCAAAGAAAAAUGAUAUCAUUAGAUUGCCAAUUUGAGCCGUGUAUGUUGAGCCUUUUAUUUCUUAUCACCAGAUAUGUCUACCCUUAUACCUGAAACAUUUUUCCUUACCCUUUCCAAGCAAGCUAGUGAGCAAUGCGAGAUUGUCUUAUGAGAAACGUUUGUGAAGUACUUUGAAGGUGUUUGGCAAAAAAAUAAGUGUGGGGGUAUUUCAUGUUUGUAUUAAAAAAAAAAAAAAAAAAAAAAAAAAAAAAAAAAAAAAGAAAAGAAAAAGAAAGAUUGUAUACAAAGAAAAUAAAAAGUUUUUAAAGUUUCAGUUUAAGGUUGUGGUUGGAGAUGCUAGAAGAAUCGCUUGGAAAGCUUGAGUUCUUAUAAAUCUAAACAAAAGAAUUGCUUGCAAUGUAGCUUGGAACUUGUGUUUUCCUAUUCUUUCAUUUCAAUAACCCUCUCCCUAAACCUCAUUACGUCCAAUAAAAGUCCUCUUGAUUUAAGUUUUGCAAUUAUGAUUGUGGAGAUGAGAUCUUUAUGCAAGCUUAUGGUAGAAAUUUCACAUUUGAUUCUUUGAGCGAAACACAUUAAAACUAAACACAUGUGUGAUUGAGUGAAUAUUCAGUGAGAAGGUCGCUAGUUUGCAUAUGAUGAUUUUUAAAAAUAAAAACUUGAAAUUGCAUUAGCAUGGCUAUCUCACACACUACACUUCAAGGAUGAUUCAAAGAUUACUGCUAAUAUUUGAAUAAAGGAAGAUGAACUUGGAUUAGUUUGCUUGAUGCUAGCUAUGGUUCUUGAUGAUUUGUUUUCUUGAAUGAAAUUCUAUGAGGGUCACAUAGAGGGAAGCUAAUGUUUUUCAUUGUUACUUACUUUUUCAUAAUUUUCUUUGUUUUGCUCGAGGACUAGCAAAAGUUAAGUGUGGGGGUAUUUGAUCGGAUCAUAUUUAUAUAUAUUUUUACUUCGAAUUCACUCGUCUUUUCUUAGUUAGUUCCUUAUAUUUUUGAGCUAUUUACGUUAUUUUUGUGUUUAUAGGAUUUGUUAUGCGCAAAGAAAAUAAAAAUAGAAACAAGUGAAAUUUUAAAUGUAAUAAAUUCGUCAAAAACUUCUGUGUAGAUCAGCUUUUGUGGUAAUCUCUCUUCUCUCGUUUUCUUGGAGAUCAGAAUUGUUUUAGCAAUAUUGUUCAUUGUGCUCCUCACCUUCUAUUGUCUAUGCUUUCAAAACCUGCUCACAAUUUACUACUCACAGGAUUUCACAAUAUAAGUGAUUAUAAGUACAAUUCACAAUCAUUAGUCAUGUAGCAUUCUCACAGUUUUAUAUUGAUGUCGUUCUGUGCUUCAGGUUCGCAUCUUUUUCCCUACCUCCAUCUAUUAACAAUAGCAUCAAGAUGGAAGUGGGAAUCGAGGAUUGUCUGCACAUUGAGUUUGAGUACAACAAGAGCAAGUACCAUCUGAAAGAUGUUAUUAUCGGCAAGAUAUAUUUCCUUCUUGUAAGAAUCAAAAUAAAGAAUAUGGAUCUGGAGAUCAGGCGUCGUGAGUCAACAGGGUCGGGGCCCAAUACUCAUGUUGAGACAGAGGCACUUGCUAAGUUUGAGUUGAUGGAUGGUGCUCCAGUAAG
rnacentral:lncRNA from 1 species